rnacentral:lncRNA from 1 species
AAUUAAGUACGAAGUUGAAGAUCAUUGAGGACCAAAAUUCCUAAAAGUUUUGCCAAAUACAGCAAAGGCAAUCUAUGCCUAAGGCAGAAAUGCCCCAGUCCGUCAAAAAAUUCACAACUUUGUUAACAGUAAAUUAACAAAUAUAACCAUAUCAAUGACAAUUCAUGCCAGCACAAAAAAGUGGUGACUACUGGGCUUGUGAUAUCCUCGGGGAAAUAAAUCUCCCCCAGCAGUGGCAUCGACCCAGUGGUUGUAAAUAAACUCAUCAUAGAUACCAAGACUAAAUUUAGUAUAUACGCCAGUAAGCUAUACGUAAAUGCAGCUAGAAUUUAAUGGGAGGAAAAAAAUAAACAAACAUCAAUAUUUAAAGACCAAGUGUUUAAAAAAAAUAUACAAAGACAACAAACGAACAAAGAAAGCUUAGGAUGUCCAGCAUGAAACACACCUAAAACGAAUCCCUGAAAAAAAAAACCAAAAGGUGCUAUGGCAGAGUUAGCAUUUCCAUUUGUAUACACCCCCUUUUUACAACAACAAAAUAAUUAUCCUGCC